rnacentral:rRNA from 1 species
AGAUUAAGUUAUUAAGGGCGCACGGUGGAUGCCUUGGCACUAGAAGCCGAUGAAGGACGUUACUAACGACGAUAUGCUUUGGGGAGCUGUAAGUAAGCUUUGAUCCAGAGAUUUCCGAAUGGGGAAACCCAGCAUGAGUUAUGUCAUGUUAUCGAUAUGUGAAUACAUAGCAUAUCAGAAGGCACACCCGGAGAACUGAAACAUCUUAGUACCCGGAGGAAGAGAAAGAAAAUUCGAUUCCCUUAGUAGCGGCGAGCGAAACGGGAAGAGCCCAAACCAACAAGCUUGCUUGUUGGGGUUGUAGGACACUCUAUACGGAGUUACAAAGGACGACAUUAGACGAAUCAUCUGGAAAGAUGAAUCAAAGAAGGUAAUAAUCCUGUAGUCGAAAAUGUUGUCUCUCUUGAGUGGAUCCUGAGUACGACGGAGCACGUGAAAUUCCGUCGGAAUCUGGGAGGACCAUCUCCUAAGGCUAAAUACUCUCUAGUGACCGAUAGUGAACCAGUACCGUGAGGGAAAGGUGAAAAGCACCCCGGAAGGGGAGUGAAAUAGAACCUGAAACCGUGUGCUUACAAGUAGUCAGAGCCCGUUAAUGGGUGAUGGCGUGCCUUUUGUAGAAUGAACCGGCGAGUUACGAUUUGAUGCAAGGUUAAGCAGUAAAUGUGGAGCCGUAGCGAAAGCGAGUCUGAAUAGGGCGUUUAGUAUUUGGUCGUAGACCCGAAACCAGGUGAUCUACCCUUGGUCAGGUUGAAGUUCAGGUAACACUGAAUGGAGGACCGAACCGACUUACGUUGAAAAGUGAGCGGAUGAACUGAGGGUAGCGGAGAAAUUCCAAUCGAACCUGGAGAUAGCUGGUUCUCUCCGAAAUAGCUUUAGGGCUAGCCUCAAGUGAUGAUUAUUGGAGGUAGAGCACUGUUUGGACGAGGGGCCCCUCUCGGGUUACCGAAUUCAGACAAACUCCGAAUGCCAAUUAAUUUAACUUGGGAGUCAGAACAUGGGUGAUAAGGUCCGUGUUCGAAAGGGAAACAGCCCAGACCACCAGCUAAGGUCCCAAAAUAUAUGUUAAGUGGAAAAGGAUGUGGCGUUGCCCAGACAACUAGGAUGUUGGCUUAGAAGCAGCCAUCAUUUAAAGAGUGCGUAAUAGCUCACUAGUCGAGUGACACUGCGCCGAAAAUGUACCGGGGCUAAACAUAUUACCGAAGCUGUGGAUUGUCCUUUGGACAAUGGUAGGAGAGCGUUCUAAGGGCGUUGAAGCAUGAUCGUAAGGACAUGUGGAGCGCUUAGAAGUGAGAAUGCCGGUGUGAGUAGCGAAAGACGGGUGAGAAUCCCGUCCACCGAUUGACUAAGGUUUCCAGAGGAAGGCUCGUCCGCUCUGGGUUAGUCGGGUCCUAAGCUGAGGCCGACAGGCGUAGGCGAUGGAUAACAGGUUGAUAUUCCUGUACCACCUAUAAUCGUUUUAAUCGAUGGGGGGACGCAGUAGGAUAGGCGAAGCGUGCGAUUGGAUUGCACGUCUAAGCAGUAAGGCUGAGUAUUAGGCAAAUCCGGUACUCAUUAAGGCUGAGCUGUGAUGGGGAGAAGACAUUGUGUCUUCGAGUCGUUGAUUUCACACUGCCGAGAAAAGCCUCUAGAUAGAAAAUAGGUGCCCGUACCGCAAACCGACACAGGUAGUCAAGAUGAGAAUUCUAAGGUGAGCGAGCGAACUCUCGUUAAGGAACUCGGCAAAAUGACCCCGUAACUUCGGGAGAAGGGGUGCUCUUUAGGGUUAACGCCCAGAAGAGCCGCAGUGAAUAGGCCCAAGCGACUGUUUAUCAAAAACACAGGUCUCUGCUAAACCGUAAGGUGAUGUAUAGGGGCUGACGCCUGCCCGGUGCUGGAAGGUUAAGAGGAGUGGUUAGCUUCUGCGAAGCUACGAAUCGAAGCCCCAGUAAACGGCGGCCGUAACUAUAACGGUCCUAAGGUAGCGAAAUUCCUUGUCGGGUAAGUUCCGACCCGCACGAAAGGCGUAACGAUUUGGGCACUGUCUCAACGAGAGACUCGGUGAAAUCAUAGUACCUGUGAAGAUGCAGGUUACCCGCGACAGGACGGAAAGACCCCGUGGAGCUUUACUGUAGCCUGAUAUUGAAAUUCGGCACAGCUUGUACAGGAUAGGUAGGAGCCUUUGAAACGUGAGCGCUAGCUUACGUGGAGGCGCUGGUGGGAUACUACCCUAGCUGUGUUGGCUUUCUAACCCGCACCACUUAUCGUGGUGGGAGACAGUGUCAGGCGGGCAGUUUGACUGGGGCGGUCGCCUCCUAAAAGGUAACGGAGGCGCUCAAAGGUUCCCUCAGAAUGGUUGGAAAUCAUUCAUAGAGUGUAAAGGCAUAAGGGAGCUUGACUGCGAGACCUACAAGUCGAGCAGGGUCGAAAGACGGACUUAGUGAUCCGGUGGUUCCGCAUGGAAGGGCCAUCGCUCAACGGAUAAAAGCUACCCCGGGGAUAACAGGCUUAUCUCCCCCAAGAGUUCACAUCGACGGGGAGGUUUGGCACCUCGAUGUCGGCUCAUCGCAUCCUGGGGCUGUAGUCGGUCCCAAGGGUUGGGCUGUUCGCCCAUUAAAGCGGUACGCGAGCUGGGUUCAGAACGUCGUGAGACAGUUCGGUCCCUAUCCGUCGUGGGCGUAGGAAAUUUGAGAGGAGCUGUCCUUAGUACGAGAGGACCGGGAUGGACAUACCUCUGGUGUACCAGUUGUCGUGCCAACGGCAUAGCUGGGUAGCUAUGUGUGGACGGGAUAAGUGCUGAAAGCAUCUAAGCAUGAAGCCCCCCUCAAGAUGAGAUUUCCCAACUUCGGUUAUAAGAUCCCUCAAAGAUGAUGAGGUUAAUAGGUUCGAGGUGGAAGCAUGGUGACAUGUGGAGCUGACGAAUACUAAUCGAUCGAAGACUUAAUCA